AGGGCCCAUCUUUGGGCAGCACUGUAGUGUGACGGUGCUCCGGGAUCAGCCCGAUUAACUCGGCGGGUGGUUAAUUGGAUAAAGUUUAAUCUUCACACCGCUGAAAAUCGCAAGAUCAGAGACGAGAGGAAGUGGAGGGGAGAGAUAGUUACCAAACAUGUCAGGGCGAUUAACGCAGCGGACGCCAGUGGAUUAAUGGCAAACUUGCUGCUUUAGAGAGACAGUCCUUCAAAUUGGCCCAAAUUGCUUCUGCUUCUGCUUGAUCCUGGGGAGAAGAGGGAAAUAGUCUUGUAAGGAGGGGAUUAAAUGACCCCGAUUAACGCUAAUGUAGGACAACGUGCCCUAAAACAACAUGAGGAGGAAACGCAAGCAGCAGGAGAAUGUGCAAGCAGCCACACACAGAGCUGUGUGAGGAACCCAACGUACGGCCCAGAAAGCGGGAGGCUACCACCUUCAUCAGAAUACGUCCAGCAGGACAAAACAUCAGCAAGCGUCACCGUAAGAAUGGCCUUUGAAAUAGAGAUCAGGAACGAAAAGAGAGCAGACAAAAGAACAAAAUGAAGUCGGGGAGACAGAACGGAGCUGGGUGGUCGUCCUCGCUCUCUCUGGUCUUUGGGGAUCGGGACUCUGAGGUAUCUCACUUGUUCGUGCCAAGAAGGAGCCCCACACAUGUAUCUAAGGAAAACACCAGCGAUGCGGGACAGGUGUGAAUAAUUAUGGGCUGGAAUGGAAUGUAAACGGAGCACAAAGUGUGGCCACACCCCCUUCCUUAAUGAUGUAUAAUUGUAAGGUCUUAUUAUGUUACUUGGGCCAGAAGGUAGUAUAAUGGUUAAGGAAAUGUAUCCAAAACCUGAAGAUAAAAUGA